UGCGUAGGCGGUGGAUUAAGUCAGAUGUGAAAUUCCAGGGCUUAACCUUGGGGCUGCAUUUGAUACGUGUAGACUAGAGUGUGAGAGAGGGUUGUAGAAUUCCCAGUGUAGAGGUGAAAUUCGUAGAUAUUGGGAAGAACACCGGUGGCGAAGGCGGCAACCUGGCUCAUUACUGACGCUGAGGCGCGAAAGCGUGGGGAGCAAACAGGAUUAGAUACCCGUGUA
rnacentral:rRNA from 1 species